rnacentral:rRNA from 1 species
CACAUGCAAGUCGAACGGUAACAUGAUGUGCUUGCNCAUCGNUGACGAGUGGCGGACGGGUGAGUAAUGCUUGGGAACUUGCCUUUGCGAGGGGGAUAACAGUUGGAAACGACUGCUAAUACCGCAUAAUGUCUUCGGACCAAACGGGGCUUCGGCUCCGGCGCAAAGAGAGGCCCAAGUGAGAUUAGCUAGUUGGUAAGGUAACGGCUUACCAAGGCGACGAUCUCUAGCUGUUCUGAGAGGAAGAUCAGCCACACUGGGACUGAGACACGGCCCAGACUCCUACGGGAGGCAGCAGUGGGGAAUAUUGCACAAUGGGGGAAACCCUGAUGCAGCCAUGCCGCGUGUGUGAAGAAGGCCUUCGGGUUGUAAAGCACUUUCAGUUGUGAGGAAAAGUUAGUAGUUAAUACCUGCUAGCCGUGACGUUAACAACAGAAGAAGCACCGGCUAACUCCGUGCCAGCAGCCGCGGUAAUACGGAGGGUGCGAGCGUUAAUCGGAAUUACUGGGCGUAAAGCGCACGCAGGCGGUUUGUUAAGCUAGAUGUGAAAGCCCCGGGCUCAACCUGGGAUGGUCAUUUAGAACUGGCAGACUAGAGUCUUGGAGAGGGGAGUGGAAUUCCAGGUGUAGCGGUGAAAUGCGUAGAUAUCUGGAGGAACAUCAGUGGCGAAGGCGACUCCCUGG